GGCGCAGGCCCCGCGCGUCAGUUACCGCUGCCCACCCACCGGGCACACUUUCAACACAGGUGCUGCGCCGGAUGAUCCCAAGAGCAGCAAACAAAUAAUAAACCCCUCCAGGCAUACGCGAGAGCACUCUAGUCUCGAGCACAGCACAAGGCCGCCGGUCCCUUCUCUCCCACUCCCACUACUCGCGCUCGCCGCUGGAUCCUCCACCCGCCGCGGCGCCAGGCCGGAGAUCCAGCAGCUGGGACCACGGAGGUCGGCCGGUUGCUCCGUUCCCGCUGGUGGUUGCUCUUCGGCCGCUGGAGAUCGGCAGACGGAAGCAGUUGACGCCACAGGGCUUCGUGCUGCCGAAUUCCCCAGAUAUUCUGGGGGUUCAACCGAACCCCCAUGCCCGACAACACUGGGCUUGAAAUUGGCCUUAAAGGCUCCAAGGGAGCCCCAAUGCCAGGAACGGAAGGAAGAGUGGCAAAGGAUUUGAAGAAAGCUCCUGCCUCCUUGGAGGAAAGCAAUGCUUCUCGUGAUGAGGAUCCUGGCGGAGGGCCUGCCUUGACUGGGAAGAAAAGGAAGGACCGGAGGGGUUCCGCGGAUGACAACAGGAAUGUGACAAGAAGGGUGUUGAGGUCCGACGCCAUGAAGCUGCGUGCUGAGGCUGAGGCACCAUGUGGAGCGGGUGUGGAGGUUAGCAAAACUGAUAGUUUGGAGAGGAAACACUGUGACACUACUGUGGAGGCUGAGGCUUGCAAAAGUAGUGUGCUGAUGGAAGUUGCCUGCAAUGGUGGGGAAGCCAACGGAUUAGUUAACUUGGAUGCGAGCGAUGUUUCGGAAGAAUCAACUAGGUGUUCUGAUAAUAAUAUGGGAAUGCCUGGUGUUCCUGCAACAGAUUUUUCUCAAGAUGGUGGCUUAGCUCAAGGUAGCAUUGCAGAAUCAGAUGAUAAGACAGUCAAGUCAGAUGAGGUGUCCGCUGUAACUCAUUCAGAGCAGAAUGACUCCCAAGCUGGAAUAAACAGUUAUAAUGCUGAUGAGGCCCAAGAUAACAAAGUGAGACAUGGGCCUUGUCAGGAUGAGGUCAUAGACUCAGCAAUUACUAAUGGUGCCAACACAAGUACAGAUUUAACCAAAACCAGCCCUACCAGUGGAUCAGAAUCUGUUAAGCAGGAUGAUAGUAAGCAGGAGAAUAAUUUGGUUCAUACUGAAGGAGUGAUACUCCACAGUGGUGAUCCGAAAGUUGAGAAUCAUUCUCAAAUUGAGGACACUUGUACAGAAACUGAGAUUUCUUUGACUGGGAAUGGAAGAUGUGCAGCUGAUAACCACACUGAUCGAACUGGGUACACUAAGCAGGAGGAGAGGGGCAGCCCUGUGAACGAAACCAAUGAUAUUUCGGCACAUGACAUUGUUUUUACAAGGAGAGGUAGAAAAUCAUGUGAGGCAAAGCAGGGGACAUGUGAAGAGGAGUCACGGUUUGAGAAGCGAGUUACGAGAUCAGCUACAGUUAGACAGAGAGAAGUUUCUGGAAGCUUAUGCAAAACUACCACGAAUGAGACUGCACUAGGAAGCAGAGGGAGGAAGGGAGAUAUUAUUGCUCACUAUACAAGGAAAGUGAGCAGUGCAGUAUCUCCAAAAGGUCACCAUGCUGAGCUGGGAGAAUGUAAUACCAGUAUGGAGAAUCAAACAGUGAAACAAAAGGUGGUUGAUCGAAGAGAUUCAGGUGCCACUAAGAAUGAUAAUGAUGCGAAUGACACAAAGAAUAAGGAAUCAGAAAAGACAGAGAUCAAUCUGAAGACGCAACCACCUGUUGGAAGUGUUAGCAUUGUAAAUAAAACAACUGUAGGAGCUGUUUCUGUGGUGGGUCAGAGUAUCUCUGGUUCAGCCAUCACUGAGAGAAAUGAUACAGAUCAUACUGAUUCUGAUGGAGUUAAAUAUGAAAAUAUGACUCUUGUGCAGAAACUACUACUGUCUGUUGGCGCGAAGAUUGUUGCCAGCAAGAAGAGGGUAUUGGAAGCAGGUCCUGAUAAAACCACUGGAAGGUCACCAAUUGCUUUGCCAUCCAUGAAAAAGACAAGAAAUACGUCUUCUGAUCCUGAGAUAGAUCAACCUGAUAAGUCUUCUGGAGAGAAGCUUAUUGGAAAUAACUGUGAUUUGGGCAAUAAACGUGUUUUGAGGGAACGGCAGCAUCAGAAUCAAACAUAUUUGUCAAGCAGGUCUUCUAACCAGUCUAAUCAAAAUGCUAUCAAGCAGACACAGGAUCAAUCUGACGAUGAUGACAUCAGCAGCGAUACUUCCUACAGGAGAACUCGUAGCGGACGUCGUCGUGGUGCUGCCCGUCUUGCCGUGCCAAAACAAGAGGACUCCAGUGAUUCUGAAGAAGUUGUUGUUGUGAAAAAGAAUCGACGGAAACGUAAGAAAUCUGUGCAUAAACACAGGGCUGGAUCUAAGUUGAAGCAUACUUCUGGUAGUCCUCCCAAAACAGGUCGUUUGGGUAGACCUCCACUUGUCAAAUCUGAAUGUGGCUGCUUACCUCUGCAGCCAGGAAAAGGGAAAAUGAAUGUGCCUGAAGGUACAGGAGCUCUACGCGAAGAAAAACAAAAAAUAAGUGAUCAGAUAAAGGCCAUGCUUCUAGAUGCUGGUUGGACAAUUGAUUUAAGACCCAGGAAUGGUAGAAACUACAUGGAUUCCGUGUAUAUACAUCCUAGUGGCAAAGGGUCUUACUGGUCAGUUACAAAAGCAUAUUACGUGUUCCGUGCAGAUAUGGAAUCUGAGCAGAAGGAAAGUUCUAAAGACCAUAUUCUGUCAAAAAAAUCUGUUGGUAGCCCCGGCAAAAGGCAGGUCUCUAGUUCUUCAGGCUGUACUUUAACAGAUGAUAUCCUUAGCAAAUUAAAAAGAGUUGUUGUAAACAAACGAACAACCAAAGUAGAGAUUCAAAGGUUGAGACAGAAGAAGGAAAAGAAGAAUACUACAAAUUCAACAAGAUUGCAUUUAGGCAAUGAAAGAAAAAAGAGAGGUGGCUGUGCUCUACUCGUUCGUGGAUCGAACAAGGAGUCUGGCAGCACCACUGAUGGUUUUGUUCCAUAUGAAUGGAAACGUACGAUCUUCUCCUGGCUGAUUGAUCUGAAUGUUCUAUCAGUCAAUACUAAGCUGAACUGUUUGGAUGAAAGCCACUCAAAGGUUUUACUAGAGGGUUUUGUCACUAGGGAUGGGAUUAACUGCAGCUGCUGUAGCGAGGUCAUUUCAGUGCCAGAAUUUGUGACUCAUGCUGGUUCUGAAGUAAAUAAGCCAUACAGAAACAUACUUGUGGAUGGGCUAGACAUUGACCUUUUGCACUGUCUCAUUAAUGCAUGGAAUAUGCAGUCUGAUGCUGAAAGACAAGAUUUCUUUCCCGUUAGCAUUGAGGGAGAUGACCCCAAUGAUGACACCUGUGGUAUUUGUGGAGAUGGAGGCAAUUUGAUCUGUUGUGAUGGAUGCCCCUCGACAUUUCACAUGAGUUGUCUAGGACUGGAGGCACUUCCCACUGAUUAUUGGUGUUGUUCCAACUGCUCAUGUAAAUUUUGCCAUGAACAUUCUAGUGAUGAUGCUGAAGACACUGCUGAUGUUGAUUCUUCAUUGCAUACUUGUUCCCAGUGCGAAGAGCAGUAUCAUGGAGCCUGCUCUCCUGAUAUUGAUUCCAUAGCUACUAAUCUUUCUAGUCAGACAGGCAAUUUAUUCUGCCAACAAAGCUGCAGACUGGUAUCCUUUCCAUGACUUCUGCUGCGGACGAUGUACGCACAUGGCGUGAGGAGCUCGCUCGUGCCAGGGCAGAUCUGGAGCAGGCCCGAUCUGCUAUCCUCCAGCUAGUGAUCUACUCACGGCAAAGGUGGAGUCUGACUGCCGAUCAGCGGCGACAACGCGACUGCAGGAGGCUGUGCAUGGGUUCCUGGCGUGACGUCCAGUGUGGCAGCGGCUUGCCGUCUUCAGGCUACGACACGUGGCUUCCUGGCGCGGCGUCAAGCACAGCAAGCAGCGGCUUGCCCUCUUCAGGUUGCGGCACUUGGCUUCCUGACGUGGCGUCAAGCACGACAAGCGGCAACACGGUUGCAGGCUACGGUCCGCCGUUCCCUGGUGCAGCGACUUGCAUCGGUAUUGCGCGUUGAACAACACGCGGCACGUGGGGCGACAAGGCCUUCAGCAGGGUUGGCCGAUCCUUAGCCAUGUGGACAGCAAGAACAAGUCUGGUUGGGUGGUGCUGUCUCCACUGGAACUCGCGGUAGCUCAGGCCGUAAGACUGGUGAGCUGCCACGUCUUGGCCUUUGCAGCCUGGAAGAGGUUGUUCCCAUGGGAUCCAGGGUGGCAUAUGUUAGGUUCUUUAUUUUAUUUGUUAAUAAAUUAAAGCGGAGAUGUAAAAGGCUUAUAGUUAGGGUUGCACUUUCACAUGCAUAUCAAGUUAGACAGCAAGGUUGUUUCCAUGCACCGAGAACGAGCUGUCUUCAAAGGGUGGGGGAAUGUCAUGUGGUGGCAGCCCAGGGCAUGGAGGCCCAUAGGGAUAGGCUCAGGGUUAGGAUUAGUGAAUAAAGAUUAGAUAAGAUUGACUUAGAUACUUGGGAUUAGAUUAGAUAAAAUAAGAUUGAGUUAGUUACUUGAGAGCCGAGUCUUCGUAUCUAUACAAGGAUGGGCUGUACCUCCUUAAGAAGAAAAAGGAAUGAAGAAGAAUUAGUCCCAGAUCUCUCCAAUAGUCUGGUCUCUCUCAAGCCGACUCCGCCUGACUACCUUCCGGCGCUGUUUAUCACCCCUAUGAACUAGGAUUCAAAACAUAUUUGAACUAUUAUUUAGUGACUUGAGAACCUUGUCAUUUUAAUCCAGCUAUUAAAAGCUCUACUCUUCUUUUGGAUUGAGUCGCUAUAUUUUUAUUUCUGAAACUAGACAGUUGGUAUUUAGUCAUAAGAAAUGUGUAAUGCAAAAACACCAUGGAAGUUGUGUAUUUUUGAAAAUGCUGUAUUAAACACUAUUUUUUACCAUCAAAUCAAACACACAUCCUGUCUAGAUCCUUUCUAUCUAUUUGUGGUUUUAUUUAUCUUCUAGUUUAUUAAUGUAUGUAUACCCUCCCUACAAGCCGCAACUGACCCAAGAACUUCCAAACUUCAAAUGGUAUAGUUGCAUAAUCUGAAAUUACUAGUUCUGUGAUGCAGCUGUUUGAGGAAUUGCAGAAUCUUCUCGCAGUCAAGAAGGAUCUUGAACCAGAAUACUCAUGCAGAGUUGUUCAACGCAUCCAUGAAGAGGUACCAGAAGAAGUCCUUGCUUUGGACAAAAGAGUUGAGUGUAACUCCAAGAUUGCUGUUGCACUCUCAUUAAUGGACGAGUGCUUCCUUCCGAUUGUUGACCAGAGAACUGGCAUCAACUUGAUACGCAAUGUUGUGUAUAACUGUGGAUCAAAUUUUGCCCGAUUGGAUUUCCGUGGAUUCUAUAUAAUUAUUUUAGAACGUGGAGAUGAAAUAAUAGCUGCAGCAUCUGUCCGAAUACAUGGAACCAAGUUAGCUGAGAUGCCGUUCAUUGGUACCCGGAAUAUGUAUAGGCGACAAGGGAUGUGCCGCCGACUUGUUGAUGGAAUUGAAAUGAUCCUCAGCUCUCUCAAUAUUGAGAAGCUGAUCAUUCCUGCUAUCACAGAACUUGUGGACACCUGGACAUCUAAAUUUGGAUUUAGUCCACUGGACGAUUCUGAGAAGCAGGAAGUGAAAUCCGUUAGCAUGUUAGUUUUUCCUGGUACAGGUCUUCUCCAAAAGCCAUUGCUGAAGACCUCACCAUCGGAAGAUCAAUGCUCCCAAGGAGACAAAACUGAAAAAUCAUCUGAUGUAGUCAAUGAAGAUUCGCUUUGCUCUGGUGCAAGUGCCGACCCCCUAGGUUCGGUGGUCAAAGAGCAUGGGGACACCAGCAAAGAUGCCGAUGGUACUUGCAACGGUGAUGUUUCACAGCGAUCUCCUCUUUCCUGAUGGUAAGAUUUGGUUGCAGCUUUCUGGGCCCCCCCAAGCUUUAUAUGGACGAAACCUCCGUUUGUUUUUGUACCUCUCGAGUUUUGACUCAGCAGCCAGCAUGACAACCAUCCGUUUGGCAGAAAGAGGCUUCCGGUUUUUUGCAGAUUAGUUGCCGGGGCACCCCUGUAGUUGUACUCAGAAUUUGACCAUUGACUCGUCGGCCUGGGAAAAGAAUCAGCCCGUGCAGUACUGAAAAGCGUUUACUCCAACCAGGAACCAGCUAACUUACUGUGCAGCUGAAAAGUCAGUAUGCAGAAUGUGGAGGAUAAUAUCACUUCUUUUGUUUUUUUUUGGUCGUUAACUUAGAACUCCGAGGGCGAGUCGUCGUAAAUGUUACACCAGUUGUUAUUUUGUUAAUAGCUUUUUUUUUAAAAAUGUUUUCGCUAGCGCAUUCCUAGAACCUUCUCAUUUCUGUAAGAUAGUUCUCGCCUCUGUAAGAUAAACUAAUGUAUGCGCAAGCUAGAAAUAGUCCGCCUGAUCCGUCACGCGGAAUUGGUUACCUAAACCCUGUUAAUGUUUCGUUU